ACUCCAACAUUCGAUUUGCGUCGUCUAUGCAUUCUUGGCCAAUUUCAAACCUCUAAAAGCGUUCCAUGGUGAUACCGAUUUGCUUUCCCCAAGAAUUGUUGUUGGACAGUUGAUGAUAAUCCUCCCCCUUCACCACUAAAUUCUGCAAUUAAAGCUUUUGUUGAUCUUAUUCUGAAGCCCAUUGAAAAUGGUUUAAAGAUGU